AUACCAUGAUGGGGGCAUUUUCUCAACAGAUCCUUAAAACGCUCCCAUGCAUUAUACAAAGACUCCACCUCCAUCUUAUAUAAAUUAUUAAUCUCUCCCCCCAACUU